CAUACCCCAGCUCUUAUAAUACACGUAACGCUUCUCUCCGUCGGACCAGAAUCGAUCGGCCAAUCAGCGUUAUUCUGCUGACGUAUGUCGUCACUGACCGCUACGUAUCUCGUGAUUGGCUACGGCCUUGUGGGAGGAGCGCAGAGAGGCGGAGAAAGGAAGUCUGAACAGAUUUAAGCCAAGUUUGAACCAUUGCCUCUGUUUGCUAGUGCGGUGAGAUAACGUCGGUAUCGAUGCGGCCUGGAAGCUAAAACAAACCCCGGAGCUGCUUUUUUGUCGUUAAUGAAGAGGUCUGGAAGCUAAAACAAACCCUGGAGCUGCUCUUUUGUCGUUAAUGAAGAGGUCUGGAAGCUAAAACAAACCCUGGAGCUGCUCUUUUGUCGUUAAUGAAGAGGUCUGGAAGCUAAAACAAACCCUGGAGCUGCUCUUUUGUGAGACUGAUCACUGAACACACCUGCGGCCUGUUUACUGGUUCAGCUGCUGCAGCCUGGACACAAACACCAGCUCUCACCUCACAAACCAAACAGGUGUCACCACUUCGUCCACAACAUCGUCCAUGAUCUGAGAGAUGUUGUCCACAAUCAUAGAGACAUCGUCCAUGAUCGCAGAGACAUGGUCUGGAACUGGAGAGACAUUGUUGAGGAUGAGGGAGACAUCAUCCAUGACUCGUAGACGGGCAAAAAUUGAUGGAGUUCCCCAAUUUGACGGCAUCAUCCGUGUUCAGAGAGACAUUGUUGAUGUUCAUUGAUCAUUGUUGAUCACAGUGACAUUGUCCACAAUCUCAGAGACAUUGUCUGCAAUCACAGAGAUGUCAUCCAUGAUCACAGAGAGUCUUCGUACAAUGAAGAAGUUCUUUGAGACCAGGACAGGUAAUUAUGCUUUACACCAACUGUCCAACACUGAUCUGAAGUCUUAAUCAAGUUUGAUUUGUCACAAAGACUUCACUCAUUAAACUAUAUUUACAUAGUUCAUGAAAGUACAGUUCAAAGAAAUUGAAGAAUUUAAAUAUCAGCGCUAUCUCUGUCUCUCUCCCUUGUUCUUUUACUCUUUCUCUCUUUCUAUCUCGUACCCCUUCUCUCUCUGCCUCCAAGCAAAUAUUUGACAUUCUUGGUUUGAAAAAUUAUGUAUCAGAAUAGUUGUUAAUGUUUUGUCUCUGGACAAAUUGACUGUAGCUCUCCUCCGUUUUUUGGCAAGUUGUGAUGCCUUACUACACUGAUCUUUUUUGGCUGUUUUUUGAUGUUUUUUGAUACUAUGACAUUUUUUGACUGUUUUUGACUGUUUUUGACGCCAUACUAUACUGUGACAUUUUUUGACUGUUUUUGACACCAUACUAUACUAUGACAUUUUUUCAUGUUUUUUGAUGCCAUACUAUACUAUGACAUUUUUUGACUUUUUGACACCAUACUAUACUAUGACAUUUUUUGAUGCCAUACUAUACUAUGAGAUUUUUUCAUGUUUUUUGAUGCCAUACUAUACUAUGACAUUUUAUGACUGUUUUUGACACCAUACUAUACUGUGACAUUUUUUUGAGGUUUUUUUACACCAUACUAUACUAUGACAUUUUUGCAGGAUUUUUGACCUCAUAUUAUACUGUGACGUUUUUAGAGAGUUUUUGACGCCUUACUAUACUAUGACAUUUUUUCAUGUUUUUUGAUGCCAUACUAUACUAUGACAUUUUUUGACUGUUUUUGACUGUUUUUGACGCCAUACUAUACUGUGACAUUUUUUGAGUUUUUUUUACACCAUACUAUACUAUGACAUUUUUGCAGGAUUUUUGACCCCAUAUUAUACUGUGACGUUUUUAGAGAGUUUUUGACGCCUUACUAUACUAUGACAUUUUUUAAUGUUUUUUGAUGCCAUACUAUACUAUGACAUUUUUUGAUGCCAUACUAUACUAUGAGAUUUUUUUACUAUUUUUGGCGCCAUACAAUACUAUGACAUUUUUUGAGUCAAGUUAGAUUUUGUUUUUGACAUUUCAUGUUGAUAUUAUGUGAUUUUCAAUAUCAGUACUAAUAUCCUACAUCUUUCUGUGUACAUAGUCCAGUUCAUAUUGGUCAUUUUAUUUAUGCUUAUAUAUUAUUUAAUAUUUUGUAUCUUGUCUUGUUUAUAUCAUGCCUUUUUCUAUUUUUGCUGCUUUUAUACUGAAUUACCUUGCUGUAGGACUAAUAAUGAUUUGUUACUCUUACCCAAAUAAAUAUUUCUG